AGUGAACGCUGGCGGUAGGCCUAACACAUGCAAGUCGAACGGCAGCACAGAGGAGCUUGCUCCUUGGGUGGCGAGUGGCGGACGGGUGAGGAAUACAUCGGAAUCUACUCUGUCGUGGGGGAUAACGUAGGGAAACUUACGCUAAUACCGCAUACGACCUACGGGUGAAAGCAGGGGAUCUUCGGACCUUGCGCGAUUGAAUGAGCCGAUGUCGGAUUAGCUAGUUGGCGGGGUAAAGGCCCACCAAGGCGACGAUCCGUAGCUGGUCUGAGAGGAUGAUCAGCCACACUGGAACUGAGACACGGUCCAGACUCCUACGGGAGGCAGCAGUGGGGAAUAUUGGACAAUGGGCGCAAGCCUGAUCCAGCCAUACCGCGUGGGUGAAGAAGGCCUUCGGGUUGUAAAGCCCUUUUGUUGGGAAAGAAAUCCAGCCGGCUAAUACCUGGUUGGGAUGACGGUACCCAAAGAAUAAGCACCGGCUAACUUCGUGCCAGCAGCCGCGGUAAUACGAAGGGUGCAAGCGUUACUCGGAAUUACUGGGCGUAAAGCGUGCGUAGGUGGUUAUUUAAGUCCGUUGUGAAAGCCCUGGGCUCAACCUGGGAACUGCAGUGGAUACUGGAUGACUAGAAUGUGGUAGAGGGUAGCGGAAUUCCUGGUGUAGCAGUGAAAUGCGUAGAGAUCAGGAGGAACAUCCAUGGCGAAGGCAGCUACCUGGACCAACAUUGACACUGAGGGCACGAAAGCGUGGGGAGCAAACAGG
rnacentral:rRNA from 1 species